AAAGUACCGUGAGGGAAAGGUGAAAAGAACCCCAGUAGGGGAGUGAAAUAGAACAUGAAAUUGUUAGCUUACAAGCAGUAGGAGGUACUACACUGUACUGACUGCGUGCCUGUUGAAGAAUGAGCCGGCGACUUAUAUGCAGUGGCAAGGUUAAGGAUAAUACUCCGAAGCCAGAGUGAAAACGAGUCUGAAUAGGGCGUUAAGUCACUGUAUAUAGACCCGAACCCAGGUGAUCUAACCAUGGCCAGGAUGAAGCUUCGGUAACACGGAGUGAAGGUCCGAACCCACCGAUGUUGAAAAAUCGGGGGAUGAGCUGUGGUUAGGGGUGAAAUGCCAAUCGAACUUGGAGCUAGCUGGUUCUCCCCGAAAUGCGUUGAGGCGCAGCGGUCGACAAAGAGCUGUCAGGGGUAAAGCACUGUUUCGGUGCGGGCUGUGAGAACGGUACCAAAUCGUGGCAAACUAAGAAUACUGAACAUGCCUUCUGUCGGCUAGUGAGACUGCGGGGGAUAAGCUCCGUUGUCAAGAGGGAAACAGCCCAGACCAUCAGCUAAGGCCCCUAAGUGAUUACUAAGUGAUAAAGGAGGUAGAGAUGCCGUGACAGCCAGGAGGUUUGCCUAGAAGCAGCCAACCUUAAAAGAGUGCGUAAUAGCUCACUGG
rnacentral:rRNA from 1 species